rnacentral:rRNA from 1 species
GGUGAGAAUCCCAUGCCCCGAAACCCUAAGGGUUCCUCCGGCAGGCUCGUCCGCGGAGGGUUAGUCUGGUCCUAAGGUCAGGCCGAAAGGCGUAGUCGAUGGAUAACAGGUCAAUAUUCCUGUACCAGUUAUGUUUUGGGAAGGGGGACGGAGAAGGCUAGCCAAUCCAGAUGUUGGUUACUGGUUCAAGCGUUCAAGGCUUUGAGGAACGGAGAAAACGUUCUGAGCUGAGGCGUGAGUACGAGCUGCUACGGCAGCGAAGUUGGUGACGUCAUGCUUCCAAGAAAAUCCCUAUACCCGUUAAGGCAUAAUUGCCAGUACCCGAAACCGACACAGGUGGGGUGGUAGAGAAUACCGAGGGGCGCGAGAUAACUCUCUCUAAGGAACUCGGCAAAAUGGUCCCGUAACUUCGGGAGAAGGGAUGCCAGCGCAAGCUGGUCGCAGUGAAGAGGCCCAGGCGACUGUUUACCAAAAACACAGGUCUCCGCUAAGUCGCAAGACGAUGUAUGGGGGCUGACACCUGCCCAGUGCCGGAAGGUUAAGGAAGUUGGUUAGCGUAAGCGAAGCUAGUGACUGAAGCCCCGGUGAACGGCGGCCGUAACUAUAACGGUCCUAAGGUAGCGAAAUUCCUUGUCGGGUAAGUUCCGACCCGCACGAAAGGUGUAACGAUCUGGGCGCUGUCUCGGAGAGAGGCUCGGCGAAAUAGAAUUGUCUGUGAAGAUGCGGACUACAUACACCAGGACAGAAAGACCCUAUGAAGCUUUACUGCAGGUUGGUAUUGCUCUCGGGCUCUGAAUGCGCAGGAUAGGUGGGAGACUUUGAAGUAGUGCUUUUGGGUGCUAUUGAGUCAAUGGUGAGAUACCACUCUUUCAGAGCUAGAGAUCUAACAUUUACCCGUUAUCCGGGAAAUGGACAGUAUCUGCUGGGCAGUUUGACUGGGGCGGUCGCCUCCUAAAAGGUAACGGAGGCGCACAAAGGUUUCCUCAGGCUGGUUGGAAAUCAGUCGUCGAGUGCAAAAGCAGAAGGAAGCUUGACUGUGAGACCUACAAGUCGAACAGGGACGAAAGUCGGUUUUAGUGAUCCGACGGUUCCGAGUGGAAGGGCCGUCGCUCAACGGAUAAAAGUUACUCUAGGGAUAACAGGCUGAUCUCCCCCAAGAGUUCACAUCGACGGGGAGGUUUGGCACCUCGAUGUCGGCUCGUCGCAUCCUGGGGCGGUAGUACGUCCCAAGGGUUGGGCUGUUCGCCCAUUAAAGCGGUACGCGAGCUGGGUUCAGAACGUCGUGAGACAGUUCGGUCCAUAUCCGGUGUAUGCGCAGGAAUAUUGAGAGGAUUUCUCCCUAGUACGAGAGGACCGGGAGGAACGCACCUCUGGUGUACCAGUUAUCGUGCCAACGGUAAACGCUGGGUAGCCAUGUGCGGAGUGGAUAACCGCUGAAAGCAUCUAAGUGGGAAGCCCACCUCAAGAUGAGUAUUCCCAUGGUUUAAACCAGUAAGAUCACGGGAAGAACACCCGUUGAUAGGCUCUACGUGGAAGUCUGGUAACAGAUGCAGCGGAGGAGUACUAAUAGAUCGAGGGCUUGACCUU